CAACGUAGGGCGCAAGGCGUUGUCCGGAAUUAUUGGGCGUAAAGGGCUCGUAGGCGGUUUGUCGCGUCGGGAGUGAAAACCCAGGGCUUAACCCUGGGGCUGGCUUCCCGAUACGGGCAGACUAAGAGUACUGCAGGGGAGACGUGGAAUUCCUGGUGUAGCGGUGAAAUGCGCAGAUAUCAGGAAGAACACCCGUGGCGGAAGGCGGCUCUCUGGGACGGUACUGACGCUGAGAGGCGAAAGCGUGGGGAGCGAACAGG
rnacentral:rRNA from 1 species